UUCUUUCUCGCCGAAAAAAAAACCCCCUGCGCGCCUCUCUUCUCCCUCACUCCCGAGCCCUAGGUGCCGACGCCGAGCCCUAACUGCCGGCCGACGGUUUCUUCCUCGCUGAAGUUUUAAACCCCUCGGCCACCUCCUUUUCUGCUUUCUCCUCAUCUCCCUCGUGCGCACACCCUGCUCUCCUCCUUGCCCUAAUCGCCGACGCCCCCUCCUCACUGCCGCCGUGACGCCAAGCGCCACUGCACAGAGCCGGCGCCACCGCCGGCCACCCCGUACCCUAGCCGAGCCCUUGCUCACUUGCAGUGCCCUCUCGCCACUGUCUUGUGCCCCAGCGCCGGCCGCCGUUACCUGUGCCCUAACGCCGGCCUCAUCUUCACUCUCUUCCCGAGCCUUUCUUUCCUCUUCUACCCUCUGCCCCAACGUCCACUGCCGACGCUAAGGUCCAGCAACCUUCUGUCGUGCUUUAGACUCCACUGGCGGGUCUUUCUUCUUCGCCACCAGUCGCCGGCAGAGAGGAAACAGAGGGUGACGAGUAGCAGCCAACAGCCCUUAGCGGCGCAAUUUCCGCUAUCAACUCUUUGAUUCCAGUUCAAAACAGUGGCUGUGAAGUUAGGACCUUGACGCGAGACGAGUAUCUCGACGUCGUGUUCGAACCAGAUUGGACAUU